rnacentral:rRNA from 1 species
CCUGACUGCUAUCGGAUUGAUACUAAGCCAUGCGAGUCAUUGUAGCAAUACAAGGCAGACGGCUCAGUAACGCGUAGUCAAUCUACCCUAUGGACGGGAAUAACCUCGGGAAACUGAGAAUAAUGCCCGAUAGAACAUUAUGCCUGGAAUGGUUUAUGUUUCAAAUGAUUUAUCGCCAUAGGAUGGGACUGCGGCCUAUCAGUUUGUUGGUGAGGUAAUGGCCCACCAAGACUAUUACAGGUACGGGCUCUGAGAGGAGUAGCCCGGAGAUGGGUACUGAGACACGGACCCAGGCCCUAUGGGGCGCAGCAGGCGAGAAAACUUUGCAAUGUGCGAAAGCACGACAAGGUUAAUCCGAGUGGUUUCUGCUAAAGAAACCUUUUGUCAGUCCUAGAAACACUAACGAAUAAGGGGUGGGCAAGUUCUGGUGUCAGCCGCCGCGGUAAAACCAGCACCUCAAGUGGUCAGGAUGAUUAUUGGGCCUAAAGCAUCCGUAGCUCGUUUUGUAAGUUUUCGGUUAAAUCCAUGCGCUUAACGUAUGGGCUGCCGGGAAUACUGCAUAACUAGGAAGUGGGAGAGGUAGACGGUACUCGGGAGGAAGGGGUAAAAUCCUUUGAUCUCUUGAUGACCACCUGUGGCGAAGGCGGUCUACCAGAACACGUUCGACGGUGAGGGAUGAAAGCUGGGGGAGCAAACCGGAUUAGAUACCCGGGUAGUCCCAGCUGUAAACUAUGCAAACUCAGUGAUGCAUUGGCUUAUGGGCCAAUGCAGUGCUGCAGGGAAGCCGUUAAGUUUGCCGCCUGGGAAGUACGUACGCAAGUAUGAAACUUAAAGGAAUUGGCGGGGGAGCACACAAGGGUGAAGCCUGCGGUUCA